rnacentral:lncRNA from 1 species
AGUGAUACAGGUGAUAUGAGAUGAGAGGCCUUUGGGGCCCGUCUGAACACACAUAGAGGCUUUGGGCCGUGUGUUUGAGCGCUUUUGCCUUUUGGGGGCAUAUGCAUGCGGUAUGAUGAUUACAGAGAUACAGAUAUAAGAUACAAACAGAUAUUGAGAUACAGAUGAUACAGAUGAGUUACAGGCCUUUGGGGCCCGUCUGAGUACACAUAGAGGCUUUGGGCCGUGUGCUUGGGCGUUUUAUUAUGCAUGCACAAAUAUGAUGAGAUAUGAGAUGGUAUUUCCCUGUCUAUCCGUGUAGCUCCGGGGCAUGACGUUACCCAGAUAAUACGUCAUUGCCCGUCCGUUGAGGUCCGGAUAUGACGAGAUUAUUUCCCUGGGUACUUGUUUGGUGACAAUUUUCAGAUUUGUGAAUUCUAUAUGAUAUUGUGAUAUGAUUUCCAUGGUUAGUAAUCUGAUUUAAAUGUUUAAUGAUUUAUUAUUGAUUUCUCGCUUAUGGUUUAAUGAAAUCGUGUUUGGAAAUGAGAUGAUUAUUUCUUUUAAAGUAAAAAUUAAUUUUCAAAACUACUAUCCACUCACUGAUCUCACUGAGUUUUAAACUCACCCUGUUUUUAUUAUAUUUCCCUCCCCCCCUCACCAGGAGGUUGCAGGUACACCAGACCUACCCAGCGACCGUAAAUAUAUUUUGAGUCUUGGCCACGUGAUGAUGUUAGAAGAUAUAGAUGUUUUUGUUAGGACAUCUCGGUCAUCUUGUUCUUUUGGGAUUGUAUAAUUUUUUUAUAUUCUUCUUUUGGGAUUAAGAAUAAACUGAGAUAUUAAUAUUAGUUAUAAUAUUAUCUUUUGAGACUCUGGAGAUAUAAAACUCAGCAUCUUGGUUGAGGAUGUUGAGCACUGGAGUUUGUUGUAUAUUGAAUUGUAUUGGAAGUGUUAUAUUCAUAUUUGUAGAUUGGGAGUGGUAUAUAUAUAAAGGAGAUUCUGCCGAAAAUUCGGCUGAAUCUUUACGAAUAGAAUUAUUAUCAAGUCCGUUUUGAUGAGACUAGAUAGACUCGCCUGGGGGGAUUCGGGGCGGGUCGUUUCAGUUGGUAUCAGAGCAUGGUUUUAGAUUCUGUAGACUUUACUGUCUUUAUAAGACUAAGUUUUAUCUUUAUUAAAGUUAGAAUUUAUCUCUUGUAGGCACCAUCAUGCUUCAUCGUGGCAGUAGACGUGGCCGUGGCCGUACUAGGCCAAUAGUUGGGUUGACUUCUGGUAGUGUACCUGCGGGGGAAAGUGAACCCGCGAAUGAGGGGAUAGUUGAAUCCUCCACGCAUGAAAUUGCACAACAGACACCGGGGAAUGCCCCGAAUAUUGAGCAGUCAUUUGAUAGGCUGGUUCAGAUCAUGACUACAGUUGUGCAAAAUCAGACUCAAGCGCAUGUCGGUAACGCAAACACUAUUGAGCGAGUGAGGAGUUUAGGGGCGAGGAGCUUUAAUGGUUCCGGAGAACCACCUGAGGCUGAGUCAUGGUUUGUUAAGUUAGAGCGUAUUUUUAUCGUGAUGAAGUGUUUGGAGGAUGGCAGAUUAUCCUUCGCCACUUUCUUGCUCGAGGAUAGAGCUUACCAUUGGUGGCAGACUGUGGAGAGACGAUAUCAGGGGCAUGCUGCGAUUACUUGGGCCAUUUUCCGCAAGGAAUUCUACGAUUAUUAUUUUCCUGAUGUGUAUCAGGAUAUUAAACGAAGUGAAUUCUUUCGGUUGGUUUAGGGAUCUCUGACAGUUGAGGAGUAUGAGAAGAAAUUUUUAGACCUCUCUAGAUUUGCUACAUCUGUAGUCGGUGAUGAGAGUGAGAGAUGUAGACGGUUCGAGGAUGGCCUCCGAUUUGAGAUUCGCACCACCGUGACUACAUCACGAUAUACUGAGUUUGGAGAGGUGGUUAAGGCAGCCAGGAGAGUAGAGCACAGUAUUUCAGAAGGACGUAGAUUUCAUGCACUGAAGCAGAAGCGUAGCCAGAGCUGGGCAGUGGGUGACUCUAGUAGUAGGCCGCCCAAGAGAGGGGGUAUUCCUACGAGUUAUUCUGAUAGUACGUAAAGGAGUCAGAGUACAGGCUUCAGGGGAGACGCGAGACAGGCUGUCAGUCAAAGCUCUGUGCAACCAUCAGUGGGGAGUAAUACCAAGAAUCAGGGACAGUACGACCGCAGUGGUAGGGGAUAUCGUGAUGAUCGUUCUAGGAGUUUCCAGCAGACUUCUUGCCCUUCAUGUGGCAGGAAUCAUCAGGGCCAAUAUCGCGUUGAAGACAGAGUUUGUUAUUUAUGUGGUCAGCCUAGACACAUCAGGAGAUUCUGCCCUACUUCAUCUCAGGGUGAUAACUCUACAGGAGGGACAGCCUCACGGUAUCAGCCUUACUCUGGCCAGACUCAGGGUCAGAAAGGAGUGCAGACAGGAGGUUCUACAUCUACCUUUAAGAGUCAGAUGACUGCUCCAGGUCAGAGAGGUCAGCCUGGUCGACCUCAUAAUCAGGCUCGAGUUUUUCCUUUGACGCAGCAGGAGACACGUGCUGCACCAGAAGUUAUUAUGGGUAUAUUAUCUAUCCUUGGCCGCGAGGCUCAUAUUCUUAUUGAUCCUGGAUCCACACACUCUUUUGUUUCUCGUACGUUUGCUAUGCACAUAGGGCGAGAGCCUGAACUGCUAGAUUGCGAUUUAGUUGUUCGUACACCUGCCGGAGAGUCAUUACUUGCUGAGAGUGUGUAUCAAGAUUGUAUGAUUGGAAUGGGUGAACAUGCAUGUGAGGCAAAUUUGAUUUCCUUAGAUAUUUAUGACUUUGAUGCUAUUUUGGGCAUGGAUUGGCUUGAAUCUCAUUAUGCUAUGGUGGAUUGUUUCAAAAAGGAGGUUGUGUUUAAAAAGCCAGGGAAAGCUGAGGUGAAAUUCUGUGGGGAGUGCAAAGUUCUACCUUCAUGUGUUAUAUCUGCUCUUAGUGCAAGAAGGUUGCUAAGAAAAGGAUGCUCAGCUUAUUUAGCUCAUGUGAUAGAUACAGAAGCUCGAGAAUUGAGAUUAGAGGAUAUUACAGUAGUUAAAGAAUUUCCAAAUGUAUUUCCAAAUGAACUUCCUGAGAUGCCACCUAACAGAGAAGUUGAGUUUUCUAUUGACUUAGUUCCUGGAACAUCUCCAAUAUCUAUGGCACCGUACAGAAUGGUUCCAGCAGAAUUGAAGGAAUUGAAGGUUCAAUUACAAGAGUUGGGGGAGAAAGGGUUUAUUAGACAUAGUGUGUCCCUGUGGGGAGCUCCAGUCUUGUUUGUUAAGAAAAAUGAUGGGACUUUUAGACUCUGCAUCGAUUACAGGCAGUUGAAUAAAGUUACGGUACGCAAUAAGUAUCCACUUCCGCGUAUUGAUGACUUGUUUGAUCACCUCCAAGCGCCAAAAGUAUUUUCUAAGAUCGAUUUGCGCUCGGGUUACCAUCAGCUUAGAAUUAAAGAUGUUGACAUUCUUAAAACAGCAUUUAAAACCCGUUAUGGGCACUAUGAGUUCUUAGUGAUGCCAUUUGGGUUGACAAAUGCCCCAGCUGCUUUUAUGGACCUGAUGAAUAGGGUAUUUCGCCCGUACUUCGAUCGGUUUGUGAUUGUAUUCAUUGAUGAUAUCUUGGUGUAUUCCCGAAGCGAGGAGGUGCAUGCAGAGCAUUUGCGGACUAUUUUACAGACUUUGAGACAUAAUCAAUUGUAUGCCAAGUUCAGUAAAUGCGAGUUCUGGUUGGACAGAGUAGUAUUUUUGGGCCAUGUGAUAUCAGCGGAAGGCAUUUAUGUUGAUCCUCAAAAGAUUGAAGCAGUUGUGAAAUGGGAACGGCCUACAAAUGUCACAGAGGUUCAAAGUUUUCUUGGAUUGGCUGGUUAUUAUCGUAGAUUUGUGGAAUGAUUCUCCAAGAUUGCUACUCCUCUGACACGGUUAACCAGAAAGAAUGCUAAGUUCCAAUGGGAUGAUAACUUUGAGAAGAAUUUUCAAGAACUUAAGACAUGUUUGACCUCAGCACCAGUUCUUACACUUCCAUCUGGUAAUGAAGGAUUUGUGGUUUACAGCGAUGCCUCUAGGCAGGGAUUGGGUUGUGUAUUGAUGCAGCAUGGGAAAGUGGUGGCUUAUGCUUCUAGAAAACUUAAGAAGCAUGAACAAAACUACCCAACACAUGACUUAGAGCUAGCAGCAGCAGUGGUGUUUACGAUGGGAAAUGACGGAGUCUUAUUCAUGGGUAAUAGACUCUGUGUACCUGAUAUUAAAGAUCUGAAAGAAGAGAUUAUGGAAGAAGCUCACUGUUCAGCAUAUGCGAUGCAUCCUGGUAGUACAAAGAUGUACCGUACCCUGAGAGAUCAUUAUUGGUGGCAGGGCAUGAAGAGAGAGAUAGCAGAAUUUGUUUCUCGAUGUUUAGUCUGUCAGCAGAUUAAGGCUGAACACCAGAGGCCUGCAGGGUGUUCUCAGCCGCUUCCUAUUCCUGAGUGGAAGUGGGAGCACAUCACCAUGGAUUUUGUAGCGGGACUUCCACGUACUUAGAAAGGACAUGAUGGUGUUUGGGUGAUUGUUGAUCGACUUACAAAAUCUGCUCAUUUCUUACCUUUCAAGACCACCUACUCGAUGGACAAGUUGGGGAGUAUUUAUGUGGCUGAAAUAGUUCGAUUUCAUGGAGUACCUGUGUCCAUAGUCUCAGAUAGAGAUUCCCGAUUUACUUCUAAGUUCUGGACUAGCUUGCAAAAUGCCUUAGGCACCAAGUUGAACUUCAGUACAGCUUUUCAUCCACAGACUGAUAGACAGUCAGAGCGUACUAUUCAAACUCUGGAGGAUAUGUUGCGAGCUUGUGUUAUGGAGUUUAAAGGUAAUUGGGAUAAUUAUUUACCUCUGAUGGAGUUUGCUUACAACAACAGUUAUCAAGCUAGUAUCGAGAUGGCACCAUAUGAGGCUUUGUAUGGUAGAAAAUGCAGGACUCCAGUAUAUUAGGAUGAAGUUGGUGAGCGGAGGUUAUUCGGUCCAGAACUAGUCCAGGAUACGAACGAGAAUAUACAAUUGAUUCGGGGUAGAUUAAAGGUGGCCCAAGAUAGAUAGAAGAGCUAUGCAGACAAGCGUAGGCAGGAACUUGAAUUCGAAGUUGGUGAUAGAGUUUUUAUACGGAUAUCUCCUUGGAAAGGGGUGCUUCGAUUUGGGAAACAUGAGAAGUUAAGUCCACAUUACAUUGGGCCAUAUGAGAUCAUUAAGCGCAUCGGUCCGUUAGCUUAUCGAUUAACUCUACCACCCGAGUUAUCCAGAAUCCAUGAUGUGUUUCAUGUCUCAAUGCUCCGGAAGUACAUAUAUGACCCGAGUCAUGUGUUAUCGAAGCAACCAAUUCAGUUAAAGGAAGAUUUGACUUACGAAGAGGAACCAGUGGAGAUACUGGAAGAGAAACACCAAGUUCUGCGUUCUAAGACCAUUCCUCUAGUAAAAGUGCGGUGGAGGAAUCAUACAAAGGAAGAGGCUACCUGGGAACGCGAGGACUUCAUGCGAGCUCAGUAUCCUUGUCUUUUCUUAUCAGGUACGUAAAUUUCGAGGACGAAAUUUUUAUAAGGGGGGAGGAUUGUAACAUAUGUGAAUUUCAAAAUAAAAUGAGGCGGUUAAGAAUUUUGGCGGUUCAGGAUUUAUUAAACAAAAGAAGAAGCUGGAAAAAACAGAGCAAAAAACCAGAAGCUACACGUGUGUGAGAGAGUGAGAGAGAGAAGCCGCAACCCGACCCGAAAACCCGACCCGGAACCCGCGACCUUGACCCGACCAUAUCUCUCAUUUCCAGCCACCGUUUCGGCCGAGCUUGGUACCAAUCUGAAGCUUAGAAGCCGACCGUCAUUCCCCUGCCAUCCUCGGCGCCGAAAACCAACCGGAACGCCGGUGAUCGAAGCUUUAAACCCGCGACUGUUUCACUUUACUCCGCCGGGAUUUUCGCCGAUUUUGGGUGACACCACCUGUUGGAUCUUGUUCCCUACGGCUCCCUCUUCCAUUUCCGAUCAUCCAUAGGCACUGAGAGUCACUGUUUUGCCGCCAGUCGAAUGUUGGAAUUCACGGCUGCCGAGCUCGAUUCCGGCGCCGUUGCCGCGCGUUGGAGCUCACCGACGGUACCAUUGAACUCAGCGUGAUUGGAACUUUCAGAUUUGAGCUUCCUAGCCAGCAUUGACCAAAUUCCAGUGACCGUUGAUCGGCAAGGGCAUUUUGGUAAUUUCACACUAUGAGGACAAUUUUGUAAUUUCUGAGCCUGUGGAUAUUUUAGUAAUUCAUAGAAUUGAGGAUUGGGUGUAAUUACGAUUCCGAGGGUAAUUCAGUGAUUUACGAUUUCGGAGCAUGUUAAUGAUUUACGGGCUCAAGGGCAUUUUAGUAAUUUUAUGGACACGGGAGUUGUCAAUUAUGGAUAGAUGUUCGUUUCGAGUUUAUUGCAUAAAUUGAGUCGUAAUUCCGAUUUACGGAAAAUAAUUAUGUCGUUUCCUUGAUUUAGGAGGAUCUACGAGCGAGAACCGGUCCACAGACGUGGAUGAUAACCGACCGUGAACACUUUCACUGUGAGUGGAAUAUACAAAACCUAUUUUCAUAGUUAAUUAUGAUAGUAAUGCAUGUUUGUGAAAUAAGUAUUUUGAAUGUUCUGAUUUAAUGAUUUCCUCGAAAUGGAUUUUUAUUUACGCAUUGGUAUUUUAUUAAAAUGUUUGGUUCUUGAUUUGCGUAUCGACUUUGAAUAAAGCAUGAUAAUAUUUUAAAGAUAAGAAAAGUGGAUUCAAAUGUGGUAUGAUUGCAAGUAUGAUUAAAAGGUAUGUGAAUAUGAGUAUAAUGAUUGUUUUUAAAAUCAUUAGACAAUACCCUUCCCCUCCAGAUACAGUGAUACAGGUGAUAUGAGAUGAGAGGCCUUUGGGGCCCGUCUGAACACACAUAGAGGCUUUGGGCCGUGUGUUUGGGCGCUUUUGCCUUUUGGGGGCAUAUGCAUGCGGUAUGAUGAUUACAGAGAUACAGAUAUGAGAUACAAACAGAUAUUGAGAUACAAAUGAUACAGAUGAGUUACAGGCCUUUGGGGCCCGUCUGAGUACACAUAGAGGCUUUGGGCCGUGUGCUUGGGCGUUUUAUUAUGCAUGCACAGAUAUGAUGAGAUAUGAGAUGGUAUUUCCCUGUCUAUCCGUGUAGCUCCGGGGCAUGACGUUACCCAGAUAAUACGUCAUUGCCCGUCCGUUGAGGUCCGGAUAUGACGAGAUUAUUUCCCUGGGUACUUGUUUGGUGACGAUUUUCAGAUUUGUGAAUUCUAUAUGAUAUUGUGAUAUGAUUUCCAUGGUUAGUAAUCUGAUUUAAAUGUUUAAUGAUUUAUUAUUGAUUUCUCGCUUAUGGUUUAAUGAAAUCGUGUUUGGAAAUGAGAUGAUUAUUUCUUUUAAAGUAAAAAUUAAUUUUCAAAACUAUUAUCAACUCACUGAUCUCACUGAGUUUUAAACUUACCCCGUUUUUAUUAUAUUUCCCCCCCCUCACCAG